UACGUAGGCGGCAAGCGUUGUCCGGAAUUAUUGGGCGUAAAGGGAGCGCAGGCGGGAAACUAAGCGGAUCUUAAAAGUGCGGGGCUCAACCCCGUGAUGGGGUCCGAACUGGUUUUCUUGAGUGCAGGAGAGGAAAGUGGAAUUCCCAGUGUAGCGGUGAAAUGCGUAGAUAUUGGGAAGAACACCAGUGGCGAAGGCGGCUUUCUGGACUGUAACUGACGCUGAGGCUCGAAAGCUAGGGUAGCGAACGGG
rnacentral:rRNA from 1 species